rnacentral:rRNA from 1 species
UACGUAGGGCGCAAGCGUUGUCCGGAAUUAUUGGGCGUAAAGAGCUCGUAGGCGGUCUGUCGCGUCUGCUGUGAAAACUCAGGGCUUAACCCUGAGCUUGCAGUGGGUACGGGCAGACUAGAGUGCGGUAGGGGAGACUGGAAUUCCUGGUGUAGCGGUGAAAUGCGCAGAUAUCAGGAGGAACACCAGUGGCGAAGGCGACUUCCUGGCCUGUUCUUGACGCUGGAGGCGCGAAA